UACGGGGGGAGCAAGCGUUGUUCGGAUUUACUGGGCGUAAAGGGCGCGUAGGCGGCCACGCACGUCCGUUGUGAAAUCGCCCGGCUCAACUGGGCGGGGUCAGCGGAUACGGUGUGGCUCGAGCAAGCUAGGGGGCAAUGGAAUUCCCGGUGUAGUGGUGGAAUGCGUAGAUAUCGGGAGGAACACCAGUGGCGAAGGCGGUUGCCUGGAGCUUUGCUGACGCUGAGGCGCGAAAGCGUGGGGAGCGAUCCGG
rnacentral:rRNA from 1 species